rnacentral:rRNA from 1 species
AUUGAACGCUGGCGGCAGGCCUAACACCUGCAAGUCGAGCGGAUGACGGGAGCUUGCUCCUUGAUUCAGCGGCGGACGGGUGAGUAAUGCCUAGGAAUCUGCCUGGUAGUGGGGGACAACGUUUCGAAAGGAACGCUAAUACCGCAUACGUCCUACGGGAGAAAGCAGGGGACCUUCGGGCCUUGCGCUAUCAGAUGAGCCUAGGUCGGAUUAGCUAGUAGGUGAGGUAAUGGCUCACCUAGGCGACGAUCCGUAACUGGUCUGAGAGGAUGAGCAGUCACACUGGAACGGAGACACGGUCCAGACUCCUACGGGAGGCAGCAGUGGGGAAUAUUGGACAAUGGGCGAAAGCCUGACCCAGCCAUGCCGCGUGUGUGAAGAAGGUCUUCGGAUUGUAAAGCACUUUAAGUUGGGAGGAAGGGCAGUAAGUUAAUACCUUGCUGUCUUGACGUUACCGACAGAAUAAGCACCGGCUAACUCUGUGCCAGCCGCCGCGGUAACAC